rnacentral:rRNA from 1 species
CCUACGGGUGGCAGCAGUGGGGAAUAUUGCACAAUGGGGGAAACCCUGAACCAGCAACGCCGCGUGAGGGAAGACGGUUUUCGGAUUGUAAACCUCUGUCCUCUGUGAAGAUAAUGACGGUAGCAGAGGAGGAAGCUCCGGCUAACUACGUGCCAGCAGCCGCGGGAAUACGUAGGGAGCAAGCGUUGUCCGGAUUUACUGGGUGUAACGGGUGCGUAGGCGGCCUUGCAAGUCAGACGUGCAAUCCAUGGGCUUAACCCGUGAACUGCUUUUGAAACUGUAGGGCUUGAGUGCAGUAGAGGCAGGCGGAUUUCCCGGUGUAGCGGUGAAAUGCGUAGAGAUCGGGAGGAACACCAGUG